rnacentral:misc_RNA from 1 species
GUAGGUGAACCUGCGGAAGGAUCAUUACUGAUUUGCUUAAUUGCACCACAUGUGUUUUUCUUUGAAACAAACUUGCUUUGGCGGUGGGCCCAGCCUGCCGCCAGAGGUCUAAACUUACAACCAAUUUUUUAUCAACUUGUCACACCAGAUUAUUACUAAUAGUCAAAACUUUCAACAACGGAUCUCUUGGUUCUC